GGGGUCGCAAAGGUUUCGACAGGGCAGGAAGGUCAUAGGUAGCAGGUCAGGCUGACCGCUGUGAGAGGUCAACUCAUCGUUUUAGAUGGAAACAACGAAUACGCUUUAGCUGCUUAAUUAAAGUCAGCUGCUCCGGUUUUCUCAAGGCCGUUAAGAGAAUUCCAAGGGGUAUAACCAAAUUUACGGAUUACUCAGAGCAGAGUCUUGAUGUUUUGAGGAAAUUUAAAAGACUGGUAUUAUCUGUCUGUGUCUGUGCAGUUGGGUAAUAUGAGAUUAAUCGCAGAAUAAACUUGUAGAAGCUUAUGGUGCUUUUUGUUUUGGACACGGGUUCGAUUCCCGUCGACUCCACCA
rnacentral:sRNA from 1 species